AGUCGAGCGGACCGACGGGAGCUUGCUCCCUUAGGUCAGCGGCGGACGGGUGAGUAACACGUGGGUAACCUGCCUGUAAGACUGGGAUAACUCCGGGAAACCGGGGCUAAUACCGGAUGCUUGAUUGAACCGCAUGGUUCAAUNAUAAAAGGUGGCUUUNAGCUACCACUUACAGAUGGACCCGCGGCGCAUUAGCUAGUUGGUGAGGUAACGGCUCACCAAGGCGACGAUGCGUAGCCGACCUGAGAGGGUGAUCGGCCACACUGGGACUGAGACACGGCCCAGACUCCUACGGGAGGCAGCAGUAGGGAAUCUUCCGCAAUGGACGAAAGUCUGACGGAGCAACGCCGCGUGAGUGAUGAAGGUUUUCGGAUCGUAAAACUCUGUUGUUAGGGAAGAACAAGUACCGUUCGAAUAGGGCGGNACCUUGACGGUACCUAACCAGAAAGCCACGGCUAACUACGUGCCAGCAGCCGCGGUAAUACGUAGGUGGCAAGCGUUGUCCGGAAUUAUUGGGCGUAAAGCGCGCGCAGGCGGUUUCUUAAGUCUGAUGUGAAAGCCCCCGGCUCAACCGGGGAGGGUCAUUGGAAACUGGGGAACUUGAGUGCAGAAGAGGAGAGUGGAAUUCCACGUGUAGCGGUGAAAUGCGUAGAGAUGUGGAGGAACACCAGUGGCGAAGGCGACUCUCUGGUCUGUAACUGACGC
rnacentral:rRNA from 1 species